UUCCGGUUGAUCCCGCCGGACCUGACUGCUAUCGGAUUGAUACUAAGCCAUGCGAGUCAUUGUAGCAAUACAAGGCAGACGGCUCAGUAACGCGUAGUCAAUCUACCCUAUGGACGGGAAUAACCUCGGGAAACUGAGAAUAAUGCCCGAUAGAACACUAUGCCUGGAAUGGUUUGUGUUCCAAAUGAUUUAUCGCCGUAGGAUGGGACUGCGGCCUAUCAGUUUGUUGGUGAGGUAAUGGCCCACCAAGACUAUUACAGGUACGGGCUCUGAGAGGAGUGGCCCGGAGAUGGGUACUGAGACACGGACCCAGGCCCUAUGGGGCGCAGCAGGCGAGAAAACUUUGCAAUGUGCGAAAGCACGACAAGGUUAAUCCGAGUGGUUUCUGCUAAAGAAACCUUUUGUCAGUCCUAGAAACACUGAUGAAUAAGGGGUGGGCAAGUUCUGGUGUCAGCCGCCGCGGUAAAACCAGCACCUCAAGUGGUCAGGAUGAUUAUUGGGCCUAAAGCAUCCGUAGCCGGCUCUGUAAGUUUUCGGUUAAAUCUGUGCGCUUAACGUACAGGCUGCCGGGAAUACUGCAGAGCUAGGGAGUGGGAGAGGUAGACGGUACUCGGUAGGAAGGGGUAAAAUCCUUUGAUCUAUUGAUGACCACCUGUGGCGAAGGCGGUCUACCAGAACACGUCCGACGGUGAGGGAUGAAAGCUGGGGGAGCAAACCGGAUUAGAUACCCGGGUAGUCCCAGCUGUAAACUAUGCAAACUCAGUGAUGCAUUGGCUUGUGGCCAAUGCAGUGCUGCAGGGAAGCCGUUAAGUUUGCC
rnacentral:rRNA from 1 species